UUGAUAGGUCGCUUAGCUCAGUUGGUAGAGCGCCACCCUUACAAGGUGGAUGUCAUAAGUUCGAGUCUUAUAG
rnacentral:tRNA from 1 species